GAUGAACGCUGGCGGCGUGCCUAAUACAUGCAAGUCGAGCGAACAGACGAGGAGCUUGCUCCUCUGACGUUAGCGGCGGACGGGUGAGUAACACGUGGAUAACCUACCUAUAAGACUGGGAUAACUUCGGGAAACCGGAGCUAAUACCGGAUAAUAUAUUGAACCGCAUGGUUCAAUAGUGAAAGACGGUUUUGCUGUCACUUAUAGAUGGAUCCGCGCCGCAUUAGCUAGUUGUUAAGGUAACGGCUUACCAAGGCAACGAUGCGUAGCCGACCUGAGAGGGCGAUCGGCCACACGGGAACUGAGACACGGUCCAGACUCCUACGGGAGGCAGCAGUAGGGAAUCUUCCGCAAUGGGCGAAAGCCUGACGGAGCAACGCCGCGUGAGUGAUGAAGGUCUUCGGAUCGUAAAACUCUGUUAUUAGGGAAGAACAAAUGUGUAAGUAACUAUGCACGUCUUGACGGUACCUAAUCAGAAAGCCACGGCUAACUACGUG
rnacentral:rRNA from 1 species